GAUGAACGCUGGCGGCGUGCCUAAUACAUGCAAGUCGAGCGAAGCGGGGACGGGUGAGUAACACGUGGAUAACCUCCUAUAAGACUGGGAUAACUUCGGGAAACCGGAGCUAAACCGGAUAAUUAUAGAUGGAUCCGCGCUGCAUUAGCUAGUGGGUAAGGUAACGGCUUACCAAGGCAACGAUGCAUAGCCGACCUGAGCGUGUGAUCGGCCACACUGGAACUGAGACACGGUCCAUAUUCCGACGGGAGGCAGCAGGAGGGAAUCUUCCGCAAUGGGCGAAAGCCUGACAGAGCAACGCCGCUUGAGUGAAGAAGGUUUUCGGAUCGUAAAACUCUGUUGUUAGAGAAGCGGUAUCUAACCAGAAAGCCACGGCUAACUACGUGCCAGCAGCCGCGGUAAUUC
rnacentral:rRNA from 1 species